rnacentral:misc_RNA from 1 species
GUGAAUCAUCGAAUUUUUGAACGCAAAUUGCACUCUCUGGUAUUCCGGAGAGUAUGCCUGUUUGAGGGUCAGUUUAAAUAAAAAUCGGUGUGGUUGCUGCCUUUCGUGGUGACGCACCGGAUUUGGGUCGUCUUGCCUUCGGUUAGGUGACUUAAAAUUUGGCUGGAUUUUUUCCGAACGAAUUUAAUUGAUUUUAGUAACGUUGCCG